GUACUCACUUAUGCAGCAUAUAUGCUAAAAUGGGACAACAGAGACAUUAGCAUGACACCUACACAAGGAUGACACACAAAUUUGUUAUGUGUUCCAUAUUUUU